rnacentral:rRNA from 1 species
CUUUACUGUAGCCUGGAAUUGGGUUCGGGCUUUGACUGCGCAGGAUAGGCGGGAGACUAUGAGACAUCCCUUGUGGGGGAUGUGGAGUCAUCAGUGAGAUACCACUCUGUCAAGGCUAGAAUUCUAACUCAUUGCCGUGAUCCGGCAUGGGAACAGUUUCAGGUGGGCAGUUUGACUGGGGCGGUCGCCUCCUAAACGAUAACGGAGGCGCACAAAGGUUCCCUCAGGCUGGUUGGAAAUCAGCCGAAGAGUGUAAAGGCACAAGGGAGCUUGACUGUGAGACUGACAAGUCGAGCAGGGUGGAAACACGGUCUUAGUGAUCCGACGGCACUGAGUGGAAGGGCCGUCGCUCAACGGAUAAAAGUUA